rnacentral:rRNA from 1 species
GACGAACGCUGGCGGCGUGCUUAACACAUGCAAGUCGAACGGAAAGGCCCUGCUUUUGUGGGGUGCUCGAGUGGCGAACGGGUGAGUAACACGUGAGUAACCUGCCCUUGACUUUGGGAUAACUUCAGGAAACUGGGGCUAAUACCGGAUAGGAGCUCCUGCUGCAUGGUGGGGGUUGGAAAGUUUCGGCGGUUGGGGAUGGACUCGCGGCUUAUCAGCUUGUUGGUGGGGUAGUGGCUUACCAAGGCUUUGACGGGUAGCCGGCCUGAGAGGGUGACCGGCAAAAUGGGGACUGAGAUACGGCCCAGACUCCUCCGGGAGGAAGCAGGGGGGAAUAUUGCACAAGGGGCGGAAGCCUGAUGCAGAACCGCCGCGUGCGGGAGGACGGCCUUCGGGUUGUAAACCGCUUUCGCCUGUGACGAAGCGGGAGUGACGGUAAUGGGUAAAGAAGCCCGGCUAACUACGUG